rnacentral:rRNA from 1 species
GACGAACGCUGGCGGCGUGCCUAAUACAUGCAAGUCGAACGCAGUGGGGACGGGUGAGUAACACGUGGGUAACCUCCCAUCAGAGGGGAUAACCCUUGGAAACAGGUGCUAAACUGAUACUGAUGGAUGGAUCCGGGGUGCAUUAGCUAGUUGGUGAGGUAACGGCUCACCAAGGCCACGAUGCAUAGCCGAUCUGAGAGGGUGAUCAGCCACACUGGGACUGAGACACGGCCCAGACUCCUACGGGAGGCAGCAGUAGGGAAUCUUCGGCAAUGGGCGAAAGUCUGACGGAGCAACGCCGCGUGAGUGAAGAAGGUUUUCGGAUCGUAAAGCUCUGUUGUUAGAGAAGCGUUAUCUAACGAGAAAGCCACGGCUAACUACGUGCCAGCAGCCGCGGUAAUAC